GGAUGUGAGGGUGAUCUGGCUGCGACAUCUGUCACCCCAUUGAUCACCAGGGUUGACUUGGCUGAUCUGGCUGGCUAGGCGGGUGUCCCCUUCCUCACUCACAGCUCCAUGUGUGUCCCUCCCAAAGCUGCGCGCUCGGUCGAAGAGGACGGCCUUCCCCGAAUAGAGACGGGCCCUGCUAGAA
rnacentral:snRNA from 1 species